rnacentral:lncRNA from 1 species
AUAUGAUUGCUCCCCAUCACAUUCUGAUCUUUUUCACUGCUCCUGCGAAAUACACUACCAUGCAAAGGGAUUUAUCCACUAUAGUAUCAUUUUUUCCAAGCAGCAAUCAUUGGAUUAACUUGCGUUUAUUGCAUGUAGCUCUUGGUUCCCAAUUCUUAGUCCUAAGGGAGUACGAUACCAAAUACCAUGGCCCAAAUGCUUGUGGCCUAUACCCAAGGGAA